UACGGGGGGGGCAAGCGUUGUUCGGAAUUACUGGGCGUAAAGGGCGCGUAGGCGGCUUUCUAAGUCGGACGUGAAAUCCCUCGGCUUAACCGAGGAACUGCGUCCGAUACUGAAAGGCUUGAAUCCGGGAGAGGGAUGUGGAAUUCCAGGUGUAGCGGUGAAAUGCGUAGAUAUCUGGAGGAACACCGGUGGCGAAGGCGGCAUCCUGGACCGGUAUUGACGCUGAGGCGCGAAAGCUAGGGGAGCAAACGGG
rnacentral:rRNA from 1 species